AAAUUGAAGAGUUUGAUCAUGGCUCAGAUUGAACGCUGGCGGCAGGCCUAACACAUGCAAGUCGAACGGUAACAGGAAGCAGCUUGCUGCUUUGCUGACGAGUGGCGGACGGGUGAGUAAUGUCUGGGAAACUGCCUGAUGGAGGGGGAUAACUACUGGAAACGGUAGCUAAUACCGCAUAACGUCGCAAGACCA
rnacentral:rRNA from 1 species